UUCAUUUCAUUCUAGACUUUUUUAAUAAGAAUAGCCAGAGAGUUUUCAAACAAUAACCUGGCGAAUCUUUUUACCACCUUGAAUCCCAUGUUUCCAUUUCCAUGAACUUGGUAUUGGAAUGUAAUCAAAUCAUAAGAUUAUAGCAGCAAAACCCACUAGAGUACAAGAUUUCAAAUUACUAUAAGCACUCCUUACCCAAACAUCAUAACCUCUCUCUGCCCCUUCACUCCAACUUGAACUAAAUUGAGUUCUAUUAAAUUUUUACUCAAAUCAACCAUUAGAAAGAGGGUUUGUUUCUAAUUCUAUCUAUUGCAUGGGGGUUUUUUAUGUGUGGUGAUGCUGACGAAUCUAUGAGCCAUUUAUUAUGUUGGUGUGGUUUUCGUCCACAGGUAUGAACAUGCAUUUGCACUUUGUCCUGCCACUCAAUCUUAGGGCCCAUACGAGCUUCUGUUCUAAAAUCCUCCGCCUAGGCCCCGCCUAGGAGCUAGGCCCCCCCUGGCGCCCAGGACGCCUAGGCCCCCCCUAGGCGCUGGACCCUCCGCCCGCUCGCUUAACGCCUAGCCGCUUUUAGAGACCUAAUUUGGUCAUUGUCUAUCUUCCUCUUUGUAUUAUUCAUAUUAACCAUUUGAACUUUACUAUGUUGAUUAUCUUUUUUGGUUAGAAUUUGAUAUUUUGGUCAUUUAUGAUUAUUUUUAAUAAAUAUUAAUAAUUUAAAUAAAUAAUAAUAAUAAUAAUAAUAAACACCGCCUAGGCCCCCCCGCCUAAGGCGGCCGCCUAGCCGCCUAGGCGCUAGGCCCCCCCUCCCUGCCGCCCGAUUACCGCCUAACGAUUUAAGAACCUUGCAUAACGAGUUUUGUGUUUGGCGGUCCUUCCCUUCUCAAAGUGUUCAAAAGUGGUCCUACUAGGAUCGUAUGCUAGGCAUGCUUCAUCUAUUUUUUGAAUAUCUGAAUGCGUAGGAAUUAUAAAGUUUUUGACAAUAAGCUGCUUGAUAUUGUGGUGAUUGUUAGGAAAAGUGAGGCUGGAUUUCACAAGUUCUUGGAAGCCAACCAUUGUGGUGUGGGUCAAGACGGGAUGGUUCAUAAGCUCUUCCCUUCGUAUGGACUGUACCGAACUCUGGUUGUAUUGAGAUAAAGGUUGAUGGUGCAAGUUUAAUGAGCAGGGUGCCUUAGGGGUAAUUGCUUGUGGACUUGAUGGGAAGAUUUUGAAACUGGCGAGGUGCCGAAUAGACUUUAUUUCUGAUCCCUCAUGCUUUUAGAGGUUAUGGCAGUAAGAUGGGCUCUUCAACUAGAACAUUAGUGGAGCUUCAAUUCUAUUAUCAUUGAAAGUGAGGCACAAACUGUGGUGAAGCAAAUGAUUUCAAGACAUUUUACUGGUAAUAAUUCUAUAAUAGUUGGGUUGGGCAGCUUGGCGCUACAAUUAAAAUUCUCCAAACGUGAUUUUCAUUUUAUGCCUAGGGACCGAACAGCGUGGCUCGUGUUACAGCUACAGCUGAUAACCAUACUUGGACAGAGUUGUUGGAUAUGCCAAUCUGUGGUUGCUGAUUGUAGGCUUUACGGUCCAUCUUCGUAUUAAUGAAAUUUCUUCUGAUUUUG
rnacentral:lncRNA from 1 species